AACUGUUACAGCUCUUUUAGAAUUUGUCUAGCAGGUUUUCCGUUCUUACUGGAAGACUCCC
ensembl:snRNA U7 U7 small nuclear RNA